AGAGUUUGAUCCUGGCUCAGGACGAACGCUGGCGGCGUGCUUAACACAUGCAAGUCGAACGAUGAAGCGGUGCUUGCACCGUGGAUUAGUGGCGAACGGGUGAGUAACACGUGAGUAACCUGCCCUUCACUCUGGGAUAACUCCGGGAAACCGGUGCUAAUACUGGAUACGACCUCAACCUGCAUGGGUAUGGGGUGGAAAGCUUUUGUGGUGGAGGAUGGACUCGCGGCCUAUCAGCUUGUUGGUGGGGUAAUGGCCCACCAAGGCGACGACGGGUAGCCGGCCUGAGAGGGUGACCGGCCACACUGGGACUGAGACACGGCCCAGACUCCUACGGGAGGCAGCAGUGGGGAAUAUUGCACAAUGGGCGAAAGCCUGAUGCAGCGACGCCGCGUGAGGGAUGACGGCCUUCGGGUUGUAAACCUCUUUCAGCUCUGACGAAGCUUUAUUGUGACGGUAGGAGCAGAAGAAGCACCGGCUAACUACGUG
rnacentral:rRNA from 1 species